AAACUACUAAAUAUGUCACAAAAAUCACCUUAUUGAAUUCUGCAAAUCUAAAAACAAAUCAUAUAACACCAACCUGAUCUGCAGCAGUAACCACAGCUGCAACAUUAUCUCUAUUAUAAUUCUGCAAACCUGAGAUAAUCUACAAAGUGCACGGAAAGUAAUUGCACGAGUCUUCGUAUGUCUACAACAAUGAAAUAAGAAAAAUACAGAAAUGAGAUUGACUUGUAGAUAGAGUUUAUACCUUAAGAGCUUUCCCUUGGUUAAAAUCUUUUAAGGCCAAUUCCCUGGUUGUUGAAGACAACAUAGCUCUAGUAGUAGUAGUAGUCUUUGGUAAGCGAACGGUUGAUCGAAAACAUACUGAUUCAAGUAAUGGAUUGUGUUUGUGUUGAAAAAGCAAAUGAGAAGAAGAAGAAGUCAUUGAUGAACUCAAUGCAGAAGAACCCAUUUUUCUUUCAGUUUCUCUCUUGUUCUUCCCCUUGCUUACACUCGGUGUUGCUUUGGCUUUUGUUGAGAGAAGAGGUAAGGCACCUAGACCCUGUUAAAAGGAGUAAGAGGACUGCACACAUUUAAACAUUUUGCAUACAUGCACCCUAUGGUGAUACUAACUUCCAUUUAUGCCUGUCAAUAAAUUCAGC
rnacentral:lncRNA from 1 species